GACGAACGCUGGCGGCGUGCUUAACACAUGCAAGUCGAACGGAGAGGCCCUGCUUGCAGGGUACUCGAGUGGCGAACGGGUGAGUAACACGUGGGUGAUCUGCCCUGCACUUCGGGAUAAGCCUGGGAAACUGGGUCUAAUACCGGAUAGGAGCCAUUUUUAGUGUGAUGGUUGGAAAGUUUUUUCGGUGUAGGAUGAGCUCGCGGCCAAUCAGCUUGUUGGUGGGGUAAUGGCUUACCAAGGCGGCGACGGGUAGCCGGCCUGAGAGGGUGGACGGCCACAUUGGGACUGAGAUACGGCCCAGACUCCUACGGGAGGCAGCAGUGGGGAAUAUUGCACAAUGGGCGCAAGCCUGAUGCAGCGACGCCGCGUGGGGGAUGACGGCCUUCGGGUUGUAAACUCCUUUCGCUAGGGACGAAGCUUUUUGUGACGGUACCUAGAUAAGAAGCACCGGCUAACUACGUG
rnacentral:rRNA from 1 species